rnacentral:rRNA from 1 species
AGCAGCCGCGGUAAUUCCAGCUCCAAUAGCGUAUAUUAAAGUUGUUGCAGUUAAAAGCUCGUAGUUGAAUUUCGGGGUUAGCAGGUCGGUCGUGCCAUCGGUAUGAACUGGUCUCGCUGAUCCCUCCCUCUUGACGAACUGUGAUGCCAUUAAUUUGGUGUCGCAGGGAAUCAGGACUGUUACUUUGAAAAAAGUUAGAGUGUUUAAAGCAGGCUCACGCUUGAAUACAUUAGCAUGGAAUAAUGAAAUAGGACGUUUGAUCCUAUUUUGUUGGCUUCUAGGAUUGACGUAAUGAUUAAUAGGGAUAGUUGGGGGCAUUAGUAUUCAAUUGUCAGAGGUGAAAUUCUUGGAUUUAUUGAAGACUAACUACUGCGAAGGCAUUUUGCCAAGGAUGUUUUCAUUAAUCAAGAACGAAAGUUAGGGGAUCGAAGACGAUCAGAUACCGUCGUAGUCUUAACCAUAAACUAUGCCGACUAGGGAUCGGAUGAUGUUAAUUUUUUUCAAUGACUCAUUCGGCGCC